GAAGAAGAAGAAGAAGAAGAAGAAGACUCCUCCGAGAGUUAGAGCAAAAGCUUCCAAAGUAUGGGAGUAUUUCAGGCCAACUGGUAGAAGAAUUGUCUGUACACUCUGUCAAACUGCACUUGCUUAUCACGGAAUUACAACCACGCACCUAAAAACGAAACACACAGGAGUUGUUCAAGAUGUGCGGAGCGUUUAUAAUUUUUUUCCUCCAUGUCACCUCCGGGGCUCCGUAAAGUUGCACCCACAGAAAACGAAGCAGUACGCCGUCUUCACAACUCGGAGACAAAUUGUAGGCGCUACGAACCGGAGCAAGGACUAACCUCGCAUCAUAACGAGGCUGGCCGGUGACCUAUUUGCUCGGAGCUAUGUCUGCAAGUCCAAAUUUACAUAAUGUUGACAAUGACGGCAUUGUGUCUGCCUGUAAUUACGAGACAGUAAGCAGGAGCUUCAGGUAGAAACAACCAGAUCUUGCAUCGCAGGCAGAAGCUGUGAAGACUUCAGCUCAGAGUCUAGCGAGAAGAAAGAAGCUGCUGGAAGCGAGACAGAGUGUGCUGGAUGGAUUGUAUGUCCUUUUCGCAGCCAGCAGAAGUACAGGGCAACGCACCACAGACGUCUGCAAAACGGACUGAAUUAAGACAGCAUGCCGCCAGAUAACUUUUUUUUACCAGUUUACCAUUUGUUGUG